rnacentral:miRNA from 1 species
CGGCCCGGGCUGCUGUUCCU